rnacentral:snRNA from 1 species
GCCGGAGGUAGGGUCCAGCG